rnacentral:lncRNA from 1 species
AGAUUCUUUUCUCUUUCUUAAAGUUCUAAUUUCCACUUUCUUUCCCUCACUACAGGGGCCAAUCCUGUUACCUUCUUCAUCUCACCUUUCUCAUCAGCUACACCAAUAACUGCUGAUCUGUUGCCAUCAACAGGCAAGAGCUCUGGGAGUAGCAGCACAUCACUGACUACCAGUCUAAAUUGAGCCUAGUCUUUGCAGCUUCCAUCUGAAGAAGCAACCCCUGUGGAGAAGGGGCCAGCCAUCCCCACCACUGCUACACACAGCUCAGUCAAACCAGCAACCCUGAGGGAGAGAUAGGAGGCAGGGCAGUCAGACUUGCCAGAUUUACUAAAUUGAUGAGAAGCAUCUUGGCAUAAUGAAUAGAGAACUGCCCUCAGAGUCAGGAACAUCUGGAUUCCAAGAUCUGCCUCUUGAUGCAUGUUUCUGGGGUAACUGGCAUGCCAUUGUCAAAAAUGGAUCCCCUGUGGCAAACGUAUGUGAGGACAUGAACAAGAGUCAUACCAACACAAAUGGCUCCAUGUGUGCAUCACUGGAGUGAAUACUCAAAUUAUGAGGUCACAGAAGCUUGCGAAUAUUCAAGAAUAAGAUUGCAUGAGAUUUUUGCUGCCAG